rnacentral:rRNA from 1 species
AGUAACACGUGAGCAACCUGCCUUUCAUGGGGGACAACAUUGGAAACGAAUGCUAAUACCGCAUAAGACCACAGUGUCGCAUGGCACAGGGGUCAAAGGAUUUAUCCGCUGAAAGAUGGGCUCGCGUCCGAUUAGCUAGAUGGUGAGGUAACGGCCCACCAUGGCGACGAUCGGUAGCCGGACUGAGAGGUUGAACGGCCACAUUGGGACUGAGACACGGCCCAGACUCCUACGGGAGGCAGCAUG